CUGUGUUUUGGCUCGCCCAUUUGGGCCUAAUAGCUUUUUGGUAACCCAACUUUCCAUAACCCAAAAAAUGUCCACUGUUGCCCAAAAAAAUAUCCCUUUCAUGCACUAUCCACUGUUUAUAAUUUCAUUUCCAAAAUUACCCCUCCAGCCUACCAUGUCAGCAGCCAUCUCCUUAUCCGUGUCAGCACGGGAAGUUGUGUUUUUAAUAAUUGAACACAAAAAUAUUAAGCUUUAGAGUUAGGAUUUGCAAAACCCACGACCCGACUCAAAAAUUUGGGGAAACGCUGACUUCCUCGCUUUUUGCCCUAUUCUCUCCUUUUGCCUGCAUUUUCAUGGGUGGUUUCUGGAAUCGGCGGUGGAGCUUCGUCUUCCUUUUGGAGUAAUCGCAGGAAGAAGACUGUUGUGGUCUCUUUGUGGAAUGAUCAUGCUACUAAUGUAGGGCAGGAAUUGUUGGAUAAUGCUGAUAAAUUUCCAAUUGUUGCAAUUAAAUCUCUCAAAGUUGGAGACUUCCAAGUUGUAUCACUGUCAACAUUGAGUGAAAGUAUUGUACUGGUAAAUCCAGAUACACGCA